rnacentral:misc_RNA from 1 species
CAAAACCUCUCAAGAACUAUUUUGUUUUUUGGUACUGGGCUGGGAGGAAUUGGGCUAUAUUAUAGCCCGCUCCCGCCUUAAACUUGCUGCAUGACCGCAAGCUUCACUGCUAGGUUUAAUGGAGUGGUGUCUACAUUUCUUCCAUAUAUCAUGCAGUAGCUUAUGUGGCGUUAAACCUGAUGUUACUGUUAAGGUGACUGAU